UACGUAGGGUGCGAGCGUUGUCCGGAAUUAUUGGGCGUAAAGAGCUCGUAGGCGGUUUGUCACGUCUGCUGUGAAAUCCCGAGGCUCAACCUCGGGCCUGCAGUGGGUACGGGCAGACUGGAGUGCGGUAGGGGAGACUGGAAUUCCCGGUGUAGCAGUGAAAUGCGUAGAUAUCGGGAGGAAUACCGAUGGCGAAGGCAGGUCUCUGGGCUGACACUGACGCUCAUGCACGAAAGCGUGGGGAGCAAACAGG
rnacentral:rRNA from 1 species